AUGAACGCUAGCUACAGGCUUAACACAUGCAAGUCGCGGGGCAGCAUGGGGGUUGCUUGCACUCCCCGAUGGCGACCGGCGCACGGGUGAGUAACGCGUAUCCAACCUGCCCUUCACCACGGGAUAACCCGGCGAAAGUCGGACUAAUACCGUAUGUUGUCCAUUGACGGCAUCCGAUUUGGACGAAAGGUUUGGCGGUGAAGGAUGGGGAUGCGUCCGAUUAGCUGGACGGCGGGGUGACGGCCCACCGUGGCGACGAUCGGUAGGGGUUCUGAGAGGAAGGUCCCCCACACUGGAACUGAGACACGGUCCAGACUCCUACGGGAGGCAGCAGUGAGGAAUAUUGGUCAAUGGGCGUAAGCCUGAACCAGCCAAGUAGCGUGCAGGAUGACGGCCCUAUGGGUUGUAAACUGCUUUUAUGCGGGGAUAAAGUGGCCCACGUGUGGGUUUUUGCAGGUACCGAAUGAAUAAGGACCGGCUAAUUCCGUG
rnacentral:rRNA from 1 species